GAACGCACCUUGCGCCCCUUGGCUAUUCCGAGGGGCAUGCCUGUUUGAGUAUCAUGAACACCUCAACUCUCAUGGUUUGCCAUGAUGAGCUUGGAUUUUGGGGGUUUUGCCGGCCUGUGGUCAGCUCCUCUCAAAUGGAUCAGCUUACCAGUAUUUGGUGGCGUCACAGGUGUGAUAACUAUCUACGCUUGUGGUUGUCUGCCGAGUAACCUUUGGUGACAGAGGUUUGCUGGAGCUUAUAAAUGUCUUUCCUCAGUGAAGACAGCUUUUUGACCGUUCGAUCUCAAAUCAGGUAGGACUACCCGCUGAACUUAAG
rnacentral:misc_RNA from 1 species